rnacentral:misc_RNA from 1 species
AACGAGGCCGACCUGCGGCUGAGUUACCUGCGGAGGGAUCAUUACCGAGUUUACAACUCCCAAACCCCUGUGAACAUACCUAUACGUUGCCUCGGCGGAUCAGCCCGCGCCCUGUAAAAAGGGACGGCCCGCCCGAGGACCCUAAACUCUGUUUUUAGUGGAACUUCUGAGUAAAACAAACAAAUAAAUCAAAACUUUUAACAACGGAUCU